GACGAACGCUGGCGGCGUGCUUAACACAUGCAAGUCGAACGGAAAGGCCCUGCUUUUGUGGGGUGCUCGAGUGGCGAACGGGUGAGUAACACGUGAGUAACCUGCCCUUGACUUUGGGAUAACUUCAGGAAACUGGGGCUAAUACCGGAUAGGAGCUCCUGCUGCAUGGUGGGGUUUGGAAAGUUUCGGCGGUUGGGGAUGGACUCGCGGCUUAUCAGCUUGUUUGUGGGGUAGUGGCUUACCAAGGCUUUGACGGGUAGCCGGCCUGAGAGGGUGACCGGCCACAUUGGGACUGAGAUAGGGACCAGACGGCUACGGGAGGCAGCAGGGGGGAAUAUUGCGCAAUGGGCGGAAGCCUGAUGUAGCAACGCCGCGUGCGUAAUGACGGGCUAUGGGUGAUGAACCGCUUUCGCCUGUGACGAAGCGUGAGUGACGGUAAUGGGUAAAGAAGCACCGGCUAACUACGUG
rnacentral:rRNA from 1 species